rnacentral:lncRNA from 1 species
GGUUUUUAAAUCUUUCUCAAAUGGAUAAAAUGCAAUUAUUUUGAAUCAGAAUUCUACUGUAUUUAUUAUGAAGUGCACCCUACAAUCCAUUCAAAUAUUUGGAUUCCUCUAAUAUUCCAAUCUUAUUAACUCAUUUAUGAAGAAAAACCUAUUAUCCUAAUUAUAUAAUUAGAAUUUUAAUCUCCCUUAAAAUUAAAUCUAGUUUCUGCAUACUGAACUCAGUGGCCAUAAUUCGGAAGCAAUACAUGAAUCUUCCAUUAGUGAGCUAAUCCUCUAAGAAAACAAACCUGCCAAAACCGUACAACUCAAUCAGAGUUCAACUAGAACCAAAUAAAAACACAAUGGAAUAAAUAAAAGUGAAAUAAAAAAUUCAAAUCAAAACGUCAUCAAAUUUUCUUGGCUGCAUCAUACUACUAUAUGAUUUCUUCUUUUUUUUUUAAGCUGUGCUUUACAAGUGUGUUCAUGUAUUCUUUUCUUUUUCAACAUUAAAGUGUGAGAGUGGUGCUAAUAACCUCUAAACAUUUAAAAGAAAUAUAUUGAUUUGCCCUACAACUGAAGGUUGCUUGAUUCGCAUCUUGGAUAUGAAUUUUCUUGACGUUCAGAUGAAAUUCUGUCUCUAGCUGGAAAAGGUUAUCCUCCUGUGGGAACGGAUUAGAGUUUCCAUAUAGCAAGGAACUAGGUGCCUUAUAAAGAAAAUCUGGAAUUUGACCGCAGUUAACUUCUUCAAUUCCAUUAGAUCAUUAUGGACAAAAUUGUUAAAUUGUAAAUCUGGUUGCAAUGAGUACUCUGUGACUCUAAUGUCAACGUCCUUCUCAAUUGCUUUCUAAUUAGCACGGUUGUGCUUUGUCUACCAUGCAGAAAGAAGGGUGCUUAUGCAUAUUUCCAAUCAUAAUUGAUGUUUGUGGUGAAUCAUUUUGUUGGAUUAAUUUGUUCUUCCAUCUUUUAAGGUUAUUCAACACGAGGAUUACUUAAUCUUUGUAAUAUGCCUAGCUCAACUUAUUGGGUAGUUUAGGUGACUGCUUUUGAUGUUAUCGAUAAAAUAGUUUGCGCAGGAUUAGACCUUCGUAAAUAGCUAUUUAAGAAGUACAUAGUUACUCUGGACAUUGUGCAUUUGACAUUCUAAUGGAAGUUGUAAUUUUGAUCUAUUAUUUUAUUGGUUCAGCAUUGUUGAGCCUACUUUUGUCUAGGUAUUAAUAUAAGGUUAUGCAUAUUGUGACUUGCUAUAGAUCCAGCACUCAGAGAAGCCUCAUUUUCCAUUCUGGAUUUCUUAUAAUCUUUAAUUAGAGGAUCCUGUUCUUUUUGAAUUUGAAAUAUCUUAAGUUACUUUCAAAAAUAUUUUAUUCAUUCAACAAAGUAUGAACUGAAGCACUUUUAGCCUUUUGAGUACUAUGUUAGCCAUAUUUUGUUUGUCCCUUUUCUGGAAGCUAAAUUUUGCUAAGAAGCAUAAACAUACAUGAAGAGAAUUCAUUUUGCAGAAAUGACAAUUAUUGAGGCGGUUUCCAAUAUAUGAGAGUCAACUCCAUUUCGAAAUAAAUUUUGAGCCAACAUGACCCCAUAAUGAGGCAACACUGUGAGAUAGUGACUGCUGAAGAUUGUGUGUUGGUUAUAUCCCUGUUCAGUACCCUUUAUGGGCAAUGUGAAAUUUUUGUCGAUGACGAACUUCUAUAAAGCUUGGUUAAAUAGGAAGCCAAUGUUUGGGCCGGAUAGUGAGAUCAUAGAGUGAGAGAUGAAUAAAUAAAUAAGGUGAGAUCAAAGUCAAUUAUAAAACUUACUCUGCUCAUAGUCUUUAAUGUUUAGGUUAUAACCCAUCUAGAAGAUGGACCUCAAAAACUCGCUGUUACUUCUAGGACCUCAAAAACUCGCUGUUAUAGUCUUGAUGUUUUGAUUUUUUGUUAUUACCUUCAAGUACUACUUUUCUUUGGCCAGAUUGGUUUACCUCAGAUGGAUCAAUUACUAAAUGGAGGUGUUCAAUGCUGCAGGCCUAUUGAAGAGCCCUAUUUUGAGCCAGCCCUUAUUCAUCGUCUAAAAUUCACUUUAUUCUUGAAACGCAUAAACUUAACCAUUAUUCUUGGAGCCUUUAAGCCAUAGUCCUAGUACUAAUUGAAUCUUUUAUAUGUUGGUAUGGCCUGUUCGGCCCUACUGUAGGGCACAGUGCUGGUGAUGAAGUGCUGUCUGAGUACUACCUUUAGAAGAAGCAUUAUAAUAAAAUCCCUUCAACUGAUUCUCUUAACAGCAGAAGUGGAAAUGCUAAAUAGAGCUUGUACUUUUGAGCUGCGCAAUCUCAUUUUUGACCCACUGUAGUAGAAUCACUGGACUUCUCUGUUUGUCAAAUGCUCUAUUAGAAGUGACUGUUACUGGAAACAAAAUAAAAAAUGGCAAAAAACAGGCACAUAGUUAACAUCGGAUGUUUCAAGAUAAAUAUUUUUAUGCAUCUGAAAAAUUAAUAUGACGGUUUGAUAUGGUUUAUUAAGCUAUCAAGCUUCUAAAAGCAGCAUAGGGCUAUUAUCUCGCAUAAAUUGACAAUUCCAAACUUUAUAGGUUUGGACUAUUCCUCUGAUAAUUCGGAGGGAAUGAAGAACUUAAUACACAAGAAGAGAGGCUAGUGAGCGAGUUAUUGGACCUGAUUACAUAUGAAGUACUUAUUAAAUAACCACCAGUGUUUUAAAUAACGGCCGCUAUAGCAGAUUUUAUGUGCUACCGCUAUACUAUGAUAUGUAAAGCGGUAUAUAGUGGAUCGGGUUCAUAGCGGCCGCUUUAGCGGCAUAGGGUCCGAUAAAGCGGCCGCUAUAAAGCGGUCGGAAAGCGGGCGGUAUGAGUCCAAAUCUUUAAAAAGUGCAAACGGGUUAAAAGAAUGAUUAAAUUGUUAAUGGAUUAUAGAUUUUCAAGUUUUAUGUUUUUUUGGUUUGCUAAAUAUUUUAAAGUUAAUCUUAAAUUCUUAAUAGAUAAUGACAUUAAAUAUAUAUAAGCUUGCAAUACUAAAAAAAAGAAUGAUUAGUUGUCUUUUCUUCAAAAUUAUAUGUAUAUUUUUUAUAAGAAACAUAAACAUAUUAAAUUUACUUUUAUGAAACCUGCUAUGGGUUCAUAGCACCUGCUAUGGCGCUCGCUAUCCGCUUUCCGCUAUGAGACUUUGCAAAUGCUAUGUACCCGCUAUCCACUAUUUACAAUCUUGAUAACCGCCAACUGGAUGAUAACCUUUUUCCUGUGAUUUAUGGACAAUUAUAUUUUGAUAUACAAUAACUCUUUCUUUGUAAAACUACACUUGUCCAUAAGGUUCUUCAACUAUUUAUAUCUGUGAUUUGAGUUUUGUCUAACGUCUGUAAUUUGUGUAGUAAUCCAUUUUUCUGUUUUUUUUUUUUUUUAACUUCAUUAAGUUAAGCUUUAAGCGGAAUUUCUUUAUCUGAUUCAUUUUGUAAUCACCAAAUGCCAGCAAAUUGUACCGCCUGUGAUUAAUUCCUUUCGCGACCAAGACAGCAGAGUUCGAUAUUAUGCCUGUGAAGCACUUUAUAACAUAGCAAAGGUGAGUAUAAUUGAUUUAAUAUCUUUAACUAGAGGUUAUAACUCUAAUAUGGAUAGGGGCCAAAAUUGUGAUUCCAGUCUUUCUAUAAGAGGGAGAGGUUUUGUAGGUCUUGCCCUCAGUUUCUGCUCUUUUUUGGGAGCUUGAGCACGUGAACCUUUUUGAUUUCUUUAAUUUAUUAAAGAUGGUUUUGCUUGCAUUCUCUGUAUUUUAAUAGAUAUUAAUUAUUUACUUUCAUUUUUGCUAGGUUGUAAGAGGAGAUUUCAUCGUUUACUUUAAUAAGAUAUUUGAUGCACUAUGUAAGCUUUCAGCAGACUCUGAUGGCAAUGUACAAAGUGCUGCUCAUCUUCUUGAUAGGCUUGUGAAGGUAAAAUUUUCAUUGACUUGCUUUCUUGAGGGAGAGUAUUUGAAAUGGUAUUUUCUUGUCUUAUAACUUGUUUUAAAUGCGUUACCCAGGAUAUUGUAACCGAGAGUGAUCAAUUCAGGUGUGUCAUCCUGUCCUUUAAAUUAUGGUUUUAAAAUGUCUGUACUUGUUUGUAUCCAUAGUUUGUUGGACUAUAUUCUCUUUUCACUCUCUUUCAGCAUAGAGGAAUUUAUACCACUUCUAAGAGAACGUAUGAAUGUACUCAACCCAUAUGUGAGGCAAUUUUUGGUGGGAUGGAUUACUGUAUUGGAUAGUGUUCCAGAUAUUGAUAUGCUCGGUUUUCUUCCUGAUUUUCUUGAUGGUAAUAUUCUCAAAAUAAAGCUUAAUAAACUAUUUUCACUUCUACAUUGAAAAAUGGCUUUAUCUUUCAUGACUUGCAAAUUCUACGCAGGUUUGUUUAAUAUGUUAAGUGAUAACAGCCAUGAGAUACGGCAACAAGCUGAUUCCGCACUUUCUGAGUUUCUCCAAGAAAUAAAAAGUUCUCCAGUAAGUUUUUCUUGAAUUUUAUGAUGUUAACAUACAGUAGUUGUUUCUUCAAAUAACUUUCUUCUUUCAUCUACUUCUUAGAAUACAUGGACAUGCAAUAUCUUAUUCUGAAAAGGAUGUCUCUCUUACCGACGCUUAAAUAUUCUUGUUUACCUUGGGAGUACAAAAUCACAUUUUCUUGAUUUCUGACUGAAUUAGUCUUGUUGUGAAGACUGUAGAUUAUGGUCGUAUGGCUGAAAUAUUGGUACAGAGGGCACGCUCUCUUGAUGCAUUCACUAGAUUGACAGCCAUAACUUGGGUAAGUUGUGACUUAAGCUUUGUUUGAACUAGUUUUCAUAGUAUCUUGCUUUUUGAAGUUAAAAUAAGCACGUGCUAUUUUUUUUCAAUGAUCUGGAAAAUUUUUUAGAUUAUUCAUAUGUUCUGAAAUUUGCAGAUAAAUGAAUUUGUAAAACUUGGGGGAGACCAACUUGUACCUUACUACGCUGAUAUUUUAGGAGCUAUAUUACCUUGUGUAUCAGAUAAAGAGGAGAAGAUACGAGCGGUAAAUCAUAUUUCUUUAGUUGCAUUAGCAGCAGCGACAUUAGUUGCUAUACCAGUUUGACACUAUUUACGCUUAAUUUUUAGGUUGCUCGUGAAACCAAUGAAGAACUACGAGCCAUUCGAAAUGAUCCUCCUGAGGGAUUUGAUAUAGGAGCUAUCCUCUCUAUUGCAAGGAGGUGGGGUUUUUCUUUUUUCCUUUUUUCUCUUUUCUCUUCUAAUCUUAACCUAGAAAUAACUAGGUCAAACAUUUCUUUUCUCCAGUAGUUAGGUUAAUAUAGUCUUUUUGCAGAAAGAUAGAAAGGAUUCGCUGUUUUGUACUAUGGUAUAUACUUCUGCAGUCCAUCUAACAUCUUGGAUGAUUUGUUGGCUAAAUCACAUUUUGAUGAUGCCAUGAUUCUUUGUUCAGGGAAUUAACGAGUGAAUGGGAGGCUACUCGAAUAGAGUCUUUGCAUUGGAUUUCAACACUUUUGGCUAGAUAUCGAGCUGAGGUAACUUUUCUUCAGCUACUUUUUAUUUGUUUACAUGCUUGUAGUUUAAUCCAUUUAUUUAGAAUGUACCAGUCGUCGUUCUCUUUAUGUAGCAAAUACAUUUCUCUUUUUGUGUUGAGAAGCUUCAUACAGUAAACCAAAAAAAAUUGCUACUUAAAUAUCUUAAUGUUAAAAAUUGCCUUUUGUUUUAUUAUGAUCCGGUUUGAAUCAUGAAUUAUGCACAAAUGUUAUCAAUGUUAAGGAAAUUAAGAACAUAAAAUAUGUUUUAUUGCAGGGAAGCAACUGUGAAUUCCUUGGUUAGGAUAGAUGAAUAUAGAUUGACAAUAGAAAUUCUUACUUGUACUUUUUAAUUAAUCUACAGCUAUCUGAAAUAACAUUGGAAAAAUGUUAUUAUGAAAAGAAAAUUAAACUUACUAGAUUGGAUUAGUUCUCUUUCCAAUUAUAUUAUUUUAGAAAGAAUAUGUAACGAUAAGCAUAAGUUGGACUUGUGCAUGUAUUGCACUUGGUUUGUCUGCAUUAUUUCAGAUGCUAGUUUUGAGUUUCAUUGACAUGCAUGAAACAGGUUUUAGCAUACUUGGAUGAAAUCUUUGGUUCACUUUUGAGUGCACUUUCAGACCCUUCAGAUGAGGUAAAUACUUCAUUCACUAUUAUUGUUGUGCUUUGUGUCUCGAGAAAUCAGUGUGAAUAUAAUGAACUGCUUGAAAGUCAGAUUAUGUUAAAUCUUGUUGCUUUUAGGGCUUCAUUAUUGAUGUUUAAGCAUAACUGAGGGUUGCAUGUAUUUGCAUGAUUGCAUACCUGACUAUCAAUUCGGAGUGUGCUUGACCAAUUACCGAAUAAUUUAUUUUCAAGUAAAUGUCAGUUGGUUACUUUUAUGCUCAUAUAUUAGAUUUGAUGUAGUGUUUAAUGCAGUGAGACAUGUGAUGUAGAAUAUUUCAGCCUCAUCGUCAUUGGUACUUAUGAUUUAUUGUAUGAUCCCAUUUUGUUAAAGUGGUUAGAAGCUUCAAUAUAUGUGAGGUGGCUGUUUCUCCAAGCUAGUUGGUGGAGCUAAUCAUUUGACUGGGUCCAUCUGACUGGGCCUAUUGAGAUAAAACUGUAGGAAUAUAACUUUUCAGUGAUCAUUUGUCACGUUAUUGCUGUUAUAUUAUGUACAAUAUUGUUCCCAAUGUAUUAUUCACUCUAUAAUAUGAUGUUGCGUCCGACUUUCCAUAUGCAAUGAUUGGAGUCUGGUUGACUGGAGCAAUCUUGACUCAUCCAGCUUGAGAUACUGGAUCUAGGCAAGUUUAUGUUUUGGUGUUGUAGAGAAAAAGCAACAAUAGAGAGAGUUUCCAACUUAAAAUAUUCUCCUUAUCCAUUUAUUUUCAGAAAUAACUGUGGAUAUCUGUGUUGAUUGUUUGCCGUUAAAUGAUGAGCAAUUUUAUGCCACAUGUACUGUUAAUCUUUAAUUCGGCAGUUUGCUAUUCCUUAUGGCGUCUUUACCCACUUCUACAAUAUUUGUGUUUACUUUGUAUGGCUUUUGUUCCUUUCUAUUCACCAAACUUAAAAUGUGAUCAAAUUGCUUCUUUACAUCUCUGGUCUAUCCUUUGAUACGUUUUUACCUUUCCAAAAUUAUGGUCAUUCCUUUUUUUCCUUUUCUAAUGAGCACUUGUGUGAGGUAGUGGAGGUCAAAUAUACAUGUAAUGACUGUAUAUGCUUAUAAAAUUGCAUUACCAAUUUUAAUAAGAACGUGCUGUAUAUAGAGAACUGGAUUUAAGAGGAACAAAUUUUCUGUUCUACACUAUAUAACUGACAAUCAGCUUAUUUAAAUAUGUUCUUUACUUUCUUUUGUCUUUUUAUUGUUCUUAUAUCUUUUCACGCUGUUCAAACCUUAGAAAUUUUAUGAUGCAGCGUAGUUACUUAUUUGGAAUGAAUACCAAUUUUGGAAUGAACGCAUUCAUGGGCUUCAUUUUAAUUUAAAAAGACUCAUUUUGGAAUGAACACCUCAACUUUUAAUUUUUGUCAUAAUGCCCUUUGACUUCUGGUCAUUUGUUUUGAGUUGUUCAGUCAACUGAAUUUGGGAUCCCAUUAAGAUAAAUAGCUCAACCUCUCUUCUGUUUGUUAAUAUGUAAUGGUGAACAACUUGAGGUGAUGUUAAUUUUAACACGACCCCCAAUUUAGCUAAAGGGGCUAAUUCAAAUUCAACGUGAAAAAAAUAAUUUGAGGGGGGUUUCAAUUGAAAAGAAAAGUUUUGAGGGAAAUGGGCUAUAGUUCUGUGGCUCUUCCCUCGUUUUAUCCUUGUCUCUAUACAACAGCUGCGAGCAUCUUAUGAAGUUUCUAAUAUACAACAAUGGGAUAGUAUUGCUCGGGAAAUGUUUAAUACGCUUCUUUAGUCUUCAUUGCAUUGUUGCUAUUUUUACUAUUUCACUGGAUGCGCUAAUGUUUGCAGGUGGUUUUGCUAGUUCUGGAAGUGCAUGCCUGCAUAGCUAAAGAAUCUCAUCACUUUCACGAUCUCAUUUCAUACUUAAUCCAGAACUUCCACAACGAUCAUGUGCUUCUGGAGAAGUAGGUGUUCUUCUGCAUACACAGCAACUGUUUUGCCAUUGUUUAUCUUUCGGCCCUUCUUUUGGUUGUUUAUAUAGUUAUCUAAGUAGAGCAGCUGAGUGUAAGAUGUAUCUAUCUAUAAAUUCUUCUGUUAUCUUUCUAGGCGUGGUGCCUUGAUAGUGCGGAGACUUUGUGUUCUUUUGGAUGCUGUGAGAGUUUACAAAGAAUUCUCAAAAAUUCUUGGGAGCGAAGCUGACUUGGAUUUUGCAUCUACAAUGGUUCAGGUUUAUACCAUUGCUUAGACUGUUCCAUUAUCAUAUUUGCAGUAGAAAUCUAGUAAUACUUUUUUUCAUUCAUAUUUUAGGCUCUCAAUUUAAUUUUACUCACUUCAUCUGAAUUGGCUGAGCUGCGUUUUCUACUCAAGCAAUCUUUGGUGAACCCUUCUGGCAAAGAUUUGUUUAUAUCUUUGUAUGCUUCAUGGUGCCAUUCCCCAAUGGCAACAAUUAGUUUGUGUCUACUAGCUCAGGUGAGCAUUUGCUCCGUUGAUACUUGUUUACCUUGCUCAUAGUUCAUUACUUUAACUUUUCAUUUUUUUGAUGUUUUGCUAUUUCUACUCAAAGGCAUAUCAACAUGCGAGCUCCGUAAUUCAGUCAUUAGGGGAAGAAGACAUAAAUGUAAAAUUUUUGGUACAGCUAGAUAAGUUGAUCCGCUUGCUGGAGACUCCGAUCUUUGCUUACAUACGACUGCAGGUAGAUAUUCUCUUUCUGAUCUAUUCUCUGUUUUGUUUAUUUUCGUUGUAGUCUGAAAAUGAAAAGAGCGUAUAGUCGCAUAUGAAAAGAUAAGGAGAUAGGAGGCAGUGAAGUGACUAGAAUUAAUUAAUGAUCUAUCACAGCUGAAGGUUGUAGUAAUUUGGUUCACAUUGUUUGAUUAAUUGAUUUGAACGCCUUAUGAGAUAUGUGUUAACAUGAAAAGGCCAAUCUGCAUACUCUUGUUCUCCAUGAUUAUGAUGCUGACAAAAUGUGUAUGUUAGGAUCUAAACUUAAUGCAUGCUAUGAGCAUUAAAGAUUGAAAUAUGGCGUGGACGUAGAUAACUACUUGAGGUCUUUUCAGUUACACAGGAGUUAAUCACCACAUAACAAUUGUUGUUUGGCGAUUAUAGAUAACUGAAGAGUUAUUUUUGAGGAGAGAAGUAGCAGAGAUAGAAAAAAAUAAUGGGCUGUGGAUAAUGUACCAAUUGAGACCUUUCAAAAUUUUCUUUGAAUGCAAAAUAAAUUAGAUCUGUGGUGCGCUUGAAACUUGCCUACAUGGCAUAUUUCCCUAUAUGCUUUGGUUUGGACAUUGUGAAAGCACAAACAAAAGAUUUGUUAUGUAGCUUUUCUUGUGGCCAGUUUACCUUAGCUAUUUAUAUCACAAAACAUUAGUAGCGUAAGCACCAUUUGUUUUCUUCUUUUAUUGAUCUUUUUAAGUAAAUUGAGUUGAACAUAUGUUUAGUUGCAUUUUUUUUUUUUGUUAUGUUUUAUUAUGGAAAUGCUUCUUAUUUUGAUUCUUUCUCUUUUGGAAAGAAACAUUUAUGAACAAAACAAUAAAACUUGUGCCCCUUGGGAGCAUUCAAUUUGCUCGUCCUUAAAUGAUAUGAACUUCUGUAUGUAGUUGUUGGCUUUAUCUGCCAAAAACUAUUAUCUGCUUUUAGUUUUUUCUGGCUUUUCUUCUUAUGUUACAGUGCAACCUGUAUAACAUGUUUCUGUGUAACAUGUUACCUUUGAAGUAACGAGUCCUGUUUAAUUAUUUGCCAUUGUCAGCUUUUUAUCUUUAUUUUCUUGUGAUAAGCAAAAGUUUCUGGUGAUCUGUUGUGGUCGCUACUUUUUUAUAUCAAAGAAAUUUUCUUGUGCUUCUAUAUCUUUAUUGUUAGUUGCAGUUUUCUCAUUUUAUUAUUGUGGUUAAUUUCUCAGAGGCUUCUUUUAGGUUAUGCUGUUUAUUUUAUUCCCUUCCUGCUGCUGCUUCUUCAGAACUGCUAGAUACUCUUCCACUACUUUGUGUUUCAAAUGGUCAACUUUCAGAUAGAGGCGGCCUUGCCUAAGACAGCUGAAUGAAUGGAAUAAACUCAUGUAUAACCAAAUUAAUUGAAGAACUAGUUUUCUUUUUGUUGAUUUUGCUUUAUCUACCUACUGAUAUCAUAAAACGUAACUUGCCUAGUGUUAAUCCAGAUUGACGGGGAACCUUGACCCCUGGGGAUGGGGAACCCUGUGGGAACACAAGUGACGAGAACGCCCCCAGUUGCUGUCACCAUGCUUGUUCGUUGCAUUGCCCUAUAGAUUUUACCGUCAUCUAGUUGAUUACAUAAUUAGACUUUUAGUCUUCAUGUGGCUGUUUUGGCUAUCAUGGAUAAUCAAACAACUUUCCAUUAGCUCCACUCCAUAGCAAUUUUAUAUAGAUUUUCUGCGCUUUUCGGUCUCUUCUUUUUGGUUUUAUAUCCGACUUCAAAAUACAAUGGAUUACGGGGUCUCAAACUUUCAUUAUCAUAUCUGAUACUAAAAACUCCUAGUGGGAAGAUGUGUUUAAGGAUUAUUCAAUUUUAGAGGGCCAUGAGAAGACUUGAGAAAUUGCCAACUUAUUGUCUUCUUUCAUUGAAGUAACUGCUAUCAAUUUUGUAGCCUUUUCCCCCUUUCAUAAAGCUGUCUUUUUCAAUUUCUGCAGCUUCUUGAGCCUGGAAAACACACAUGGCUGUUAAAAUCUCUAUAUGGCCUUUUGAUGUUGCUGCCUCAGGUAACAGUUUCAUUGUUUUAGUCCACUUUGGGUUUCUACUUUUCAUGAGCUGUUAGCCUGUAAAAAAAGAAGUAUUUGAACAUUAUUAUGAAAGGUGUUAUGCAGGGUGUAUAGCAGUAUUUAUAAGAAUAUGGACCAGCCAUAUUCAUAUGUAUAAGAUUGUUGCAUGUGUUUAAAGGUCUUCCUCCUUUUAAUCAAGUUUCUUUUAUUUUUACUUGAUUCACAAAAUUUAUAACCAUUAUAGACAUACUAUUUGUUGCCUAUACAUAUUACAGAUGAUUCUUUGACCUAUGGGAAGUAAGAGUUUAACUUGGAAACUUCAGAGCUAACUUCAAUAUUUAAAAAUCUUUCUUGUUUGAGGGCUCACUAGAGCUGGUAGGUUUAUAGAAGGUCACCUGCUCCUGUUGAAGAGGAGUGGAGCAAUAGCUAUAGGCUGUAAUUUCCUUUAGUUAUUAUAUUAACAUGGACCCUCUAGAAAACACGUAUUGCUAUUCUGAAGUUACGUCGGCCAAGAGAGAGGACUCUGGAUAUGUUGAGGGCACUGUAGUCUCCCAUUUAUUAUGUAUUGCUCUGGAUUCCUCAUGAAAAUUAUUACUAUAUAUUAGGGAAUACUGCUCUUAAAAUGAUCUUUGAAUAAUGGUUUCACUGUAAGAAGUGCAACAUGUAAUAUGACAAGAAUUGUCAGAUUAUGUUUUUCUUUUUAAUUGGGUCAGUUCAUUUUAGUCACCUAGCAUGUAUAUUAACUAUCUGAAAAACAGAAAGAGUAUGUUGUAAAGCCAAUAACAUGCUGAUUCUAAUUACUUUCUUCUUUGCAUUCUGCUUUAUGAUUGCUCUAUCCAUUUUGCAGCAAAGUGCGGCCUUCAAGAUCUUGCGGACCCGAUUGAAGACUGUUCCUUCUUUUGCAUUGAGUACUGAGAAUCUUAAGCGGACUUCAUCUGAAAAUCCGUACUCUCAGAUCUUACAGAUAGCAGAUGAAAGCAACCGGAACCAAGAUGUUGCCAGUACUUCUCAUGCCAUUGACUUUCCAGCUCGGCUGCAGCAGUUUGUCCACAUGCAGCAACUGCAUCGAGCACAUACGAAAUUUCGGCAGCAAUCCCGCAAUGCAGCCUACUCAACACUAUCACAGGUACAGAGGCUUGCUUAAUGUUGUUAGCAUAGCAUUGCUCUUGAGGUUUUCUUGGCAACUAUAAUUGAUGGAAUUUUUGUUUUUAGUAAACUUUUUAAGUACAGGGGUUGGAAAAGUAAAUUCAUCCCUAACUGCCUACUGUUAAUUGCUAUACUACUCUUUGAGUGGAUAUUUUGGAUUUGGUCCUCUUUUUUUAAAAAAUCUUCUUGUGACAAACAACAUGAAUAAUUUGCCAUCGACCAAUUAUGUAUUUGUAUUUUAUAUAUAUAUACUUUUAUGAGUAUUGGCUCCUUUAGAUUUAUUCCAUCGAUCAUUUUCACCCAUUAGAUCAUACUAUUCAACCAACUACCCACUCAACCCUAGGGGACUACUAUCAUUCUAAGUAGGGACAACCAUAAUCCUAACCACACAUCCCAUCAAUUAACGUUUAAAAAUUUAUGAGUACAAGGAGUUCUAUACUCAUAAGAGUAUAGUAGCCCCCGCCUAUAUAUAUAUAUAUAUAUAUAUAUAUAUAUAUAUAUAUAUAUAUAUAACAACCAUUAGUUAUAUGAAAGCCAAAAUUGCCUCUAAUCCCUGUAAACUCAUUUAGGCAUUCAAAAAAGACGGAAAGACUUUGUAUUCUUAAGAAGGUCACUUAAUCGGAAGGUCUUAACAGCUGUUAUAGGAAAAAAAAUAGCUAAUAUAGGGAGGAGGUGGUAGAGUGGAACAGAUCGAUAUUUAACUUUGUUAUUUCCUUUUCACCAUCUGUAAACACAGUAAUAACACUUUAUGUGGGAGCCUGUGCAUUGUUUUUCUCUUUGUUAUUGUUCUUUUCAGAGAAUUAACAAGCUGAUAUUUUCGGUUCUACCAAAAUUCUUUUUUAUUUUAUUAAGCUGUAACCCGUGACUUACAUUUUUCAUCAUCUUCUUAGCAUACAAAAAUUUAAAAGAAACAAUACAGUGAUGGCUUUUAAUCGCAGGAAAUACAAAGAUCUGAGGAAACAAAGCAAUCUUUGCCACUUCCUGAGAUCAAUCGGCCCCCUUCAUGAUCACCGUGGGGCAUACCUGGACAGUUGCAGCAUUAAUUGUUGUUGGUAAUAUUUUGGGUCUUCUUCUUUUAGUCCAUAUAGCACAAACCUCAACGUCCGAAAUUUUAUCUACUAUGGAUUAUCUUCAAAGGGGGGGGUGUCGAGCGGGUGUUAGUUGUAUAUCUUAUUGGCUGUUAUUUUCCUUCAGAUUUUGCUUUGUUGGUGGUAAGUAUUCAUCUGAAUCCGAUAUGCUCGGCUCCUCAUUAGCUAUUCUUUUUCUUUUUCUUUUUCUUUUCUCUUCUCUACUAGUAAAAUUUCUGCUCCUGUGGUUCCUGUAAUUUUUGGUUUAAAGGCCAUGUGAGCAGAAGUGAACGGAUACGGGUGAUGAGAUUCAGUUGUUUUAUUUUGUUCAGCUGGUUCAACAAUCCCCAAUAAAAGCAGGCCGUGAAAUGUAUUAUGUUUCUUACUCUCUGUUUAUGCUCUUUCCAUGUUAGUGCAGUAGACCAAAUAGCAAAGAAGGUUCUCAAAUAACUCGAGAAGCAGAAGCAGAGCCAGAAGCCGAAAUGUUCUUCUGGGUCGGGAGCUGCUGUCGGGUGCUUAUAGUUUGCCUCUUUAGAACCUUCCGACCCGGUCGGGAAGCUACUAGUAGCCUGCCCUGCUACUGAAACAAGAUUUGAACCUGCAUGGUUUGCAUUGAAUUGAUAAGAAUUUGAGCUGCUAGUACUCCUAACAUGUCAAUGAUAGUGUUCUGGGAGAAAUGGCAGUAUGUUAGCAAGACUUGCUGGGUUUUUGAUGGAAAACUCAUUGAACCGUUUCCAUGGAAGAGGCAUCCGCAACACGUUGUUGUAGCCCGUAUAAGCUUUGGUGGGGCGCUACAGUCAUAAAAGUUUUGCUUUAUUUCCCUGCAACUUCCUGAUGAUUUGGUAACUUUUGACGACAACACAGAGAUGUUGAAAUGUUCCCCGGCAACACCCGUGCUAUUGAAUUGGUUUGACCUGUGCUAUUGAAUUGGUUCGUUGCUAGGGAUGUUUCCACUGGUGCCUGUUCUUUCGGUGGUACUUCAAUUCUAUGUUUCUGAUGUGAAAUUUGUUUCGGUGGUACUUCUAUUCUAUGUUUCUGGUGUGAAAUUUGCUGCUGGAGUUGCCGUAAGAAGUGUUCCUCUACCCCUCGUGCACGGAAUAAAGGCCCUGCAAAAUAAUGUCGUGUGUCCCCUCCGGAGAGUAUCAGAUUCAGAGCAUUAGUUCUCCCUCCUAAUCCAUAUCUUCAUCCUAUCAUUUUUCAUGCUCUUGCCGCGUCAACAAAAAGAGUAGAAAUUAUUGGCUACACCUCGUUUGCAAUGUUGAUUGUGCCUAGUAAGCUAAUUUCAAGCACAGAGAUCUUCAAGAUUAAUGAUAUCCAAUAAAUAUAUAACCCUUUUGGAUUAGAUCACAUCCAAUGGAUUAAAUCGUGACGUUAAAUAUCUUUGUGCCUAAAUUUAGAUUGUGACGGAUGAAGGAAACGGAUCACCUGGUGGAGGCGGUAGUAUUUUCUCUCUUCUUUUACCUGACAAAAGAUGCUAGUCAUGUUGUGAUGAUAAAGCGUCGGUUGCUAGAAUUCCAAAUCAUCUAUAUAUAAUAUAUGAAUCCUCAGUUUUGAACAGGUGGCGAGCUCGGAGGCGCGGGCAGGGGCGAGCGCGGGGCGCGGGCAAGCGGGCGAGCCUGGCGGGGCGCCGUGUGGCGCGGGCGCGCGGGGCGCGGGCAGGCGGGCACGCGGGGAGGGGCGCCGCGUGGCGCGGGCGGGGGCGAGCGCGAGCGCGGGGCGUGGGCAGGCGGGCGCGCGUGGCGGGGCGNAGUUUUGGGACAGGUGGUGGCGACCGGAGGCACGGGCAGGGCGAGCACGAGCGCAGGGUGCCGCGUGGCGGGGCGCCGCGUGGCGCGGGCGCGCAGGGCGUGGGCAAGCGGGCGCGCGGGGCGGGGCGCCGCGUGGCGCGGGAAGAGGAGAGGGAGAGGCGGGCACGCGUGGUGGGGCGCGGGCAGGCUGGCGCACGGGGGGGGGCACCGCGUGGCGCGGGGAGAGGAGCGGGAGAGGAGAGGCGAGGGAGAGGAGAGGAGCGGAGAGGGUGGGGCCCAGGCACCCACAGCCGAGGGGAGAGGAGAGGAGAGGGAGAGAGGAGGGAUUUUUAUUUUUUUUGGCUCUUUUUCUCUCUUUAAUUUUUUCCCUUUAAUUUUUUUAUAUAUUUAUUCUCUUAAUAUAUAAUUAAAAAAAUUUAUAAUUUUUGUAAUUCAAUCUAAAUUUUUAUUUAUUUUUAUAAAAAUUUAAAAUAUAUAAAUAUUUUUUAAAUAAGUUAAAUUAUUUGUAUUAAAUAUAAAUUUUAAUUAAGCCGAAUAAAAGAAUUGUUAAAAAUAUAUAAAAAAUAAUGAAGGAAAUUUACAAAUGAAACAAUAAAAAAUAAAAAAAAUAAAAGAAUAAGAUAGAUAAAAGAAGAAUAAAGGCAAAAAUGUAAGAACAAUAAAUCAUUUUUUCUAAAAAUUAUAUAUAAUUAUAAUAAUAAUUAUAAUAUAUAUAAUUAUAAAUAUAACUAUAUAUAAUUUCUUAUUAAUAUGAUUAUUGCCUUUAUUUUUUUUUAAUCUUUCUUAUAAUUUAUUUUUAUAUUUUUAUUACAAUAAUAAUUCUUUAUUUUUUAGUUAUUUUUUUAUAUAAUUUUUGGCCUAGCCCGGGGAGGGGUGAAGAGGAAGUUUUUUUUUUUUUCUCUCAUCUCAAUUGUUCCCUUAUUUAUUAUUUUUUUAAAUCCAAUUCGGGAACAGUGCGGAUGGGACCCAACGGGAGAGAGAGGAGGGAGGCUUUUUUUUUUUUUCCUCUAACUUCAAUUUUUUUUUUGUUCAUGUACAUAGAAGAAAAUUUAUAAUAUUUUUAAGUCUAAUCUAAUUUUUUAUUUUAUACUAUAAAAAUUUAAAAUAUAUAAAAAAUUGGAUAAAAAAUGUUUUUGAAAGAUUGGAUUUACAUUUCCAUCCUUAAAGCUAUAAGACGAAUAAUAAUUUAAUCCUCAAAUUUUUAAUGUAUUAUGAUUUAAACAAUAAGGUAUCUGAUAUUUUCAUCCCCAAUCUUUAAUUAGUUACUUAUUUUUCAGUUAUUUAUUUUAUAUAAUUUUUUGACUUUUUAUUUUGCUAUUUUGUAAUUUAUUUAUUUAUUUUUAUGAAGUCAUCCCGCAGCAGCGCGCGGGUCCUUCACUAGUUAUCACUAUAACAUGGCGAGAUUUAAAUAUAACACAUACAAUACUUAUGUAGGGUCGUCGGCAUUAACCAUUAAUUUUAAAAACUCGAGUUAUUAAAAAGAUAAACGCAAUCUGACCACAGAGCUUUGGAGAAAAUGCGGUGCAAUUAACCCCAUGUGGCUCCGAAGCAUCCUUGUGAAUUGUUCUUAGGUUAAUGAACGAAUUGGACUCGAAUCUUUUUUAAAAAAGAAAGGUUCUUUAGAUGAGGCCAUUGUUGUUCCUAAAGGUGGUGGAUCUCCUGAUGCAUCAUCGCAUGGGCAUGAUGGGAGACACUUUGGCCAACGAAGUCUUGCGUGAUGGGUACCUGCAGAAUCAUUGGGUGGCACCGAACUGCAGAUCAGGUCCCAACCCAAUCCCAUUUUUGACCACUGAACCUGCAAUAUCCUUUUAUUAGUGGUACGUGAGAUCACAUACCAUGUUUGAGACUGUGGAAUAGAUUUCGGAAUAGGUUAAGAACCAUACACAUGCUUGCACGUGUUCACAGUUCGCAAACAAAAUGUGAGGGAUUUUGCUUGCCAGCACACACACCCUGAAAAAGUUCUAAUUUACACCUGGGGGGUUGUCAACGAACCGAACACGAACACGAGCAAGCUGGGCCGGCUCCUGUUUGCUCGUUUGUUAAACGAACCGAAUACGAGUUGGCUCGUUAAAAUAUGAAGCAACAAAAUGCAGCUCGUGCUCGAUUUGUAUUAUUACUAACAAGCCGAACACGACUUGAUUCACAAACAACAAGUCAGAUUAUCAGCCGUACUGCUACGUAAAAAUUAAAUUUUUUUUUUUUUAGAAAAUUAGAAUCUUGAUCUAAUAAUUAAAAUUCAUAAAAUAUAGGUCUCUUUUACAUUUGAGUUGAUUUAAAAUUCAUAUAGUAGAAAUUUGCAAUAUAUAUAUAUAUAUAUAUAUAUAUAUAGAGAGAGAGAGAGAGAGAGAGAGAGAGAGAGAGAGAGAGAGAGAGCGAACGUUCAGUUGGAUUGCCGGCCCUAGUAACAAUAAUAGCAAUACUAACAUGCUUAUAAAGAAACAAAUUGCGAUAUAUUUUUAUUUAGAGAGAAAAAUAGCAAGUUACACCCUUUGUUUAUUUUUUUAGAAUAAAUUGAGCAUGAAAUAUGAGAGAAUUAGGCUUCGAUUUUAAAACCUCCACUACCAACCAUCAAAUCUAUUAGGCAUUAAAUUCUUAUUGUAUUUUAGUACAAAUGAUAACUGUGAGAUUGGUAGGUGGUGCUGCGGAGAAGUAUGCUUUAGGGACUACAUUCAUAAAUAAAUAAAUAAAUAAAUGAAUGAACAAGCAAUUAUUCUCUAAGCAAAAGACAAUAAGCAACUUGGAUUACUUUACUUGGUAACCAAAUGUUAAUUAGUGUUUGUCCUUGAUAAUGAUUGAGAAUCCCAUUAAAAAUUGUGGUAUUUAAAAUCAGAAUCAAAGAAUACGCAUCCAAUCAGACUUUUUUAGUACAAGUUUUUUCAAAGAUUUUUUUUUUUUUUAAGAGAGAAAAAUAGCAAGCUAUCUGCGUAAUUCAGUUCUUAAAACAAUUAAGUUUUGAAUUUAAAAUUUCAAAUAUCAUCUAUUAAAUUUUUAGACAAUUAGGCUAAGUAAUAGUAGGUGAGUUUUCUCAAAGAACGUAUAAAGAAAUAAUUGGUGUGAAAAUGUCAAAGUCAACGUAGGUGAUGCCUACAAGGCAACAUCUCUCUAGUUUUAAAGAGAAAGAGAUUGAAGCCAUUUGCUCAACUGCUUCUUUCUAAUUAACAAAAUUACAUCAUUUUCUUAAGCCAAGUUAGACUCGGGUCCGGAUAUUUUAUACCAUACCCGACUUAGACCCAACCCAAAUCCAACUUUUAAAUAGGUAGAGUCUGGAAUAGUUUUUAAAUCUAGACCCAAGCCUAGACCGAGUAAAAUAUCCGAUAGUAAAUAAAAAAGAAUUGAACUUUUGAAGUUAAGGGAUCAAUUUUAAUAGAAGUUAUAGAUUGGGGUCUCUACGUAUUUUCAUUCUAGUGAAAUCCUAGCCGCUCAUUCACUCCUUUCUUUUUUCUAGUCUUUUUCUUUUUGUUUUUUACUCAUUAUUUUUUUGUUUCAUUUCCGUCUUAGGGUUUUUUAUGAAAUAAUAUUUCCAUACAACAAUUCUCUACAGGCGUAGCACGGGUGAGUUUUUUUUUUCAAAUCUCUUUUCUAAUUAUAAUUGACAAUCUAGUUUUUUUUAAUGAAUAUUUUGUUCAGUAAAUUUUUUUUAUUCCUCUUUAUCGGGAUUUUUUUUUUUGAAUGAAUUUUAUUGGACUGUGUACAACUUAUUAGAACGUGAGUUCUUUAUAGGGGAAGGUUUAUAGUUUGUCCAUAAACUAUUUAAUAAAGUCUCUCUCUCUCUCUCUCUCUCUCUCUCUCUCUCUCUCUCUCUCUCUCUCUAUAUAUAUAUAUAUAUAUAUAUAUAUGAGCUAGGAUGGUAUACUAUCGGUAGCACAGAGGUCUCCGUGCUACUAAGUUGUUUUCAAUGAUGCAGUUUCCAAAUCGACGAUCGGCUCCGUUAGACUUGAUCUACACCAUUGAAAGUAUUUGGAAACUAAAUUUCAUAAAUUUUCGACAUCAUUUACCUAUCAAACGAGUAGUCUAAAAAUGAACAGCUGAAAAUAAAAAUCUCCUAAAAAAUGAUGAUAAAGACUUAAAUUUAAAAUCAAAGGUACUGAUCUUACUUUAAAUAGUGAAAAGAAUUUUCUAUAAAAAUUUCAUCAGAUUUGAAUUAUUUUAUACCGUUAAAUUCACAAACGCAUCACAUCUACCAUUAAAAUUGUCAAUUUUGAGACCUUUUGAUCACUAGCCAAAUGAUGUCGAAAAAUUAUGAAAUUUAGUUUCCAAAUACUUUUAAUAGUGCAGAUCAAGUCUAACGGAACUGAUCGUCGAUUUGGAAGCCGCAUCAUUGAAAACAACUUGGUAGCACGGAGGCCUCCGUGCUACGGAUAGUAUACCAGCCUAGCUCUCUCUCUCUUCUUCUCGUCUCUCUCUCUCUCUCUCUCUCUCUCUCUCUCUAUUUAUAUAUAUAUAUAUAUAUUAUAUAUAUGUAUAUAUAUAUAUAAUUAUAUAUAUAUACAUAUAUAUUAUAUAGAUAUUAGAUAUAGAAGAGAGGAGAUGAGUGAGAGAGAGGAGAGAGAGUAGAGAGAGAGAGAGAGAGGUUGAACUGGGCUAUAUUAAGUAGCAAAAUCUCAUUGAGUGCCUACCAGUUUUUAGCAUUGGAUCACUCUUUUAUUAUUUUCACAUUGGAUUAAAUACUAUAACCCAUGGGACCACUCAACCCUAGGGGCACAAUUCAACUUAACCGACUAAUAUCAUCCUGACCCUACAAUUUUUCAUCCAAGAGUUAAAACUUUGAUAGCAAAAAAAGCAUUUUACUAUUAAUAGUAUUCCAACUAAUUAUAUAUUAUAUUAUAUAUAUAUAUAUAAUAUAUAUAUUAUAUAUAUAUAUAUUAUAUAUAUAUAUAUAUAUCUAUAUAUUUGAGCUCCUAUGCUUUUAAAAGUAUCAAGUUAUUGGUACUUGUAGAUUUUUUGCCCAUUGGAUUAAGAGAUAUGCGUUAGGAUGAUGUGAGCCCCUUUAGAUUGAGUGGUGUGGUUGGUUGAAUAAUAUAAUCUAAUGGUUGAAAUGAUCGAGAAAUAGACUAACGGUAAAAAACUUACAAGCACCAAGUUCUUGGUGCUUUUACAUACACCAUAGCUGGACUCUCUUCUCUCCUCUCCUAUAUAUAUAGAGUUCGACUGCUAUAUGCUAUCGAUAGCACCAAUUGUUAGAAACUUUAUAAGAAACUAGAUCGUACUUUUGCCAUAUUUGAUUUCUAUACCCGAUUUUGUAAGCGGCAAUCCUUACUCGUGGUUCGUCCUCGUUUCGGUGAUCUGCAAGAAGACGGGACGAUUUCGAGUCUAAUUCCCUUAUCCCCAAGAUGGAGCCGUCACAAACAAUUGGUUAGGUUUAGCGGGACUCCCGUAUGUUACAUAUUUAUAUAUAACUUAAUGUAAGGAUGUUAAAUCACGUCCGUCCAUAGGAUGAUCCAGAUACAUUCUAACCGUAAGAUCUAAAAUAUCUUUAUAGAUCGACUUAAUAGAUUGACCGUAUCUUUUGGAUCGCUUGAAUAUAUCACGUGGGCAAUCCAACAUUCUCCCAUGGCGUAGUGAUAUAUUUAUUACCGUAUAGGCGAUACAAAACUUUAUAGGUACCAACUAAAUUAUACAGUCAAAAUCUCUCAUCGACCAGAAAUCAUAAUACUUUGAUCAUAGCGGUUAUGCCCAAAAGAUGAAACUUCCUUCCAUAUAUCAAAAGUACGAAUCCUUUAAUCAAAUAACUUUAUGAGUUACAACCGUAUGAACUUAUUAUAAGUUCAAUCAAAGUCUCACUUUAGUGCCACAUAAAACUUUAUUGUACAAAAUAACUUUUAUGCGCAUAUGUGGAAACCAAAUAUAUUCUUACUCAAAUAAGGAAUAGUCUUUAAAGUCUUUAUAUAAGAGAAACACUUAAAUUGUAAAUAGGACUCAAGAUACCCAUAUGAUGAUAUGAAUCCUUGAUAUUAUUUGUCGGCAAUGCUUUAGUCAUAGGAUCAGCAAUCAUCUUCUCGGUCCCAUGUGUUGGAUAUCACCUUCUUUUUGUCAUAUUCCUUCAUUAGCAAGAUACUUUAUAUCGAUAUGUUUGCUGCGAUCUGUAACUCGACUAUUCUUGGCAAAGAACACUGCAGCAGAGUUGUCGCAAUAAAUCUUAAUUGCUUGAGAUAGAGUCGACAACUCUUAAACCUGAGAUAAAAUUUCUCAGCAUAAUGCCUGUGACGAAGCCUCAUAGCAAGCGAUGAACUCUGCCUCCAUAGUGGAUGUAGACUGUAUCUUGCUUAGUGCUCCUCCAGAUAUAGCCACUUGAGCAAGUAAGAAAAUAUAUCAUGAUGUGGACUUUCUAGAAUCCACGCAUCCAGCAAAAUCAGAGUCCGAAUAUCCAACCACCUUAAGAUGGUCAGAAUGUCUGUAUGUGAGCAUAUAAUCCUUUGUUCCUUGUAAAUAUUCAUAACCUUCUUUGCAGCUUUCCAAUGAUCAAGGCGCAGGGUUGUUUUAGUAUCUACCAACAUCCCACUGCAUAACUAUAUCAGAUCUGGUACAGACCUGCGCAUACAUCAAGUCCCUACUGCAGAGGCAUAGGGUAUGCUCUUCAUAUAUUCUCGUUCUAAAUCAUUCUGAGGACACUGUUUCUGAUUGAACCUGUCACCUUUAUAAUAGCGCCAGCUGUAGGUGCAAGUUUGCCAUAUUAAAUCUUUCUAGAACUCUUUCGAUGUAGGCUUUUGAGAUAGACCCAAAAUCCUUGAGAUCUAUUUCUGUGAAUCUUUAUGCCAAUGACAAAAGAGCUUCACCCCUAUCCUUCAUCUCAAAAUUCUUAGAAAGAAAUUUUGGUAUCUUUAAGUAAACUCAAAUCACUACUUGCAAGCAGAAUAUCAUCCACAUACAGAACUAAGAAUAAUAUACUUACUCCACUCACCUAAAGUAUAUGCAUUGAUCCACAAUAUUUUCUACAAAUCGAAUGUAGUAAUUACAUUAUGGACUUGAUAUACCACUGACGGGAGCCUGUUUAAGUCCGUAUAUAGAUUUCUUUAGUCUGCAAACAAUGAUUACUUUCAUCUGUGCUGAAACCCUGGGCUGUUGCAUAUAGACUAUCUCCUCUAUUUCCCCAUUUAGAAAUCUGUUUUACAUCCAUUUGAUGUAACUCUAAUCGAAAUGAACUAUCAAAGCCAUGAUAAUUCUUAAUGAAUCCUUUUUAGAUACCGGAGAGAAGGUUUCAUGAUAAUCAAUGCCUUCUUCCGAGUGAAACUUUGGCAACAAGUCUGACCUUAUGGGUUCUAUGUUACCUAAAGAUCCUUUUGGUCUUGACGACCAUUUACAGCAAUGGCUUUUAUCCUUGUGGUAACACAACGAGAUCCCAAACUUUGUAUCCGUCAUAUUUCAUUCUCUCACUUCAUGGCAUCAUACCAUAGUGAGAUUUAUCUCCCUGCUAUGGCUUCUGAAAAUGUCCAUGGGUCUUUAUGAUGUCGAACAUCAAAGUCAGACUCCUGAAGAUAGACUACAUAAUAUCAGGAAUUGCCGAUCUCCUUUGUCUUGAGGAUCUUCUUAAGCCAACCUCUUCCGCAUAUUUUCAUUAUUCUGUGCAGCUGGCUCUAUAUAUUUCUGUUUCUCUUGGACAGAUCUUCAUGGGAGUUCAACUGGUUCAGCAUUUUCAUGCUCUAAAUUAAUUGAUCUCCAUUUAUGGUCAAAUUGACCUCCUGGUAGAGCAACUAAUUAUUAUCUGUUGAUGAUGAACCAGUUGAAUCCUUAUUUCCUCAAAAUCCAUCUUUUGAGGAACAACACUCCACUAGUUUCAGAAUCCUCAAGAAAUUUAGCAUUCCUGGUCUAAUAUCUUGGAUGGUGAUUUGGACAAUAGAACCUGAAUUCUUUAGAGUUUACCGCAUAGCAAUGAAAUAUCCACUGACUGUAUCGAGGGUCCAAUUCUUUAUGUGUGGAAUAUAACCUACCUCAGCUGGACAUCUCAUACGCUGCAGGUGAUUUAAACUAGGUUUCCAUCCUUUCAUAAUCGAAAGGAGUUUGGAAAUAGCCUUUGAUGGAUCCUAUUAUGAAAUAUCACACCGUGUCUUUAGUGCUUCACUCCAAGAGAAAUAGAAGACAAGAGCUACAAUCAUGCUCCUACCAUGUCCUAUAGUGUUCUAUUCCUCCUGUGGAGUCAUUGGCCCACUACCUUAGGCGUGGCUCACGCGCAGAGUCAAGUCUAAAUCCAUAUAACCCAAAGUUAAAGAAUAAUUUUUCCAAUCAGAAUAAUUGUCGCCAGUAGCAUAGGAAUACGAGAAACAUCAUUAAGAAAUGCAGUAGAGGAAGAAGCUGCAAAAACAAAGGAAAUAUUAAAUUUUAUCGCCUACUAUAAGAUAAUAAUCUUUAGAUUAGAUAAAUUCUACCUUCCUGUGGGCAGAGGUGCUACACGCAUAGAUUUUAUCUACUUUAAUAAUAAGACUAGCAGAAAACUAAUUUCUAAACAACAAGAUUUCUGUACCUGUGGGCAUAGGAAAACUCGCUAUCUAGAAAUUCAAUCCACUAUCUUAUUCCAGUCAACAUUCAGAAAAUUAAUUUAUUUGACUGCAAUAAAUAGUCAAACUUUAAUUCAAUAUCAGUAAUAUCUUAUAUAUUUUUCAUUAUCUAUAGGAUGCUGUGGCUACUCCUGAGCAUAAUGAAAAAUACAAAGAACCUUAUUUGACAUUGAAUGACUAUUUUAAAAUAAAUUAGGAAUCCAAAUGAAUUUUCGAGUUAACUUUAAAUCAAUAUCAUCUUAUAAAAAUACUAUAAGUGAACAAAUAUCAUGACUAGGAUGCUGUGGCUACUCCUAGACAUAAUUAAUCUCACAUUAACCUUUAUAUGAUAUUGAAUGACCGAAAAUUUCACAUUAUUCCAUAACGCAGCGGAAAGAUAAAAGUUCAAAAUAAUUUUCUUUACAAUUUUAUGUGACUCAAAAAUUAUAAACUGUAUGAAGUCUAUAUUCUCUACUCAAAUUUUCAUGAUCACCUUAUAUAUGUUUAGAGUAAUAAUGCAAAAAUAUUUUGUAAAAUAUUAAACUAAAUAUACUACUUUAUAUCAUGAAUAAACAAACGAGUAUGUUGUGCUGCCGAAUGUCCCGACCCUUGACCUGGUCAAAUAUUCUCCUCGGGAAGAACGUCGGGAUGCGAGACGGCUACGGAUUAUGACCCUCGAAGUAUGCGCCCACAAAGAAUCAAGCGAUUAGGCCGAUGAAGGAUCGAAUCAGCCGGGUUCGAAAACCUCCACAGUAAAUUCGCUUCGGCAGGAUAAGCCGAAUGGAGAGGGGAAGCCCAGAAUUCGACUAAGAAAUGAGCCGAAUGGCUAAACAACUUGUGAUCCGAUCGGCAGAAAGAGCCGAAGAUGACUUUCUAUUGAAUAGAAAAUGGAAAAGUACAAGAACAGGGGAGUGAUGCCCGUGGGGCAGACAGACUCCAAGUAUAUUCUACAAGGGAGUGAUGCCCAUGUGGCAGACAUACUCCAAAGAUCUAUAAGGGAGUGAUGCCUAUGGGGCAGACAGACUCCAAAGAUCUAAGUUACAAGAACUACUCCUAGGAAAGCAGUAAAUGCGGAAAAGAAAAAGAUUACAUUUAGACUACUCCUAGAAAAGCGAUAAAAUGCAGAGAAAAUAAGGAUGGUCUUUUGUGCGCAGGGGCAAAGACCUCUAUUGCAGGCUUCAAAGUUACUAUUUAUAGCCCACAUUAUUAGUUGGUUGAAAGUAGUUGGGGGGAGUGGUUGUAACCAUGAUCGUGGAAGUUAUACUAACUCCUCAUGGAAGUUACGCUAACUCCUCAUGGAAGUUACGCCCCAAUCUUCAACCGUUCCCGCCUUCUUGUCCUUCAGGCGCCUUAUUGCCGACUCCUGGUGUACCACGUGUCCUUAUUGGCUCAUACGUGGGUUAGGUCGGCUCAAUUUUGGUAUCAACAAUGCCCCCCCAAUAGUCUUUCGAAUGAACAUUCGGAUGACUAUUGGUGCCAAAUCGACUGUUCAAAAGCACAGCCGAGACCCAAGCUUUAGUUUCGCUGGUCUUGGUCGGCUUUAGGAAAACGGCGCUUUAUCAUCCCAGCCACAUAUAUCUCGGCUUCAUCAGCCGAUUCUUUACUUUUAUUCGAUUAGUUCGGCUCUUCUUGAACCGAAUGUUUUUCUAUCAAGAAAUUCUUCUUAAAGAAAGUGGCUAUAUCUCGGCUUCAUCAGCCGAUUCUUCACUUUCACUCGAUUGGCUCGGCUCUUCUUGAACCGACUGUUCUUCUAGCAAGGAUUUCUCCUUGCCUUUGCUUUGAUUUUUAUAUCGGCUCCAUUGCAGCCGAUCGUCCUCACUUUUCUUCUGAAAUUGCUCGUAUUGGGCAACUCGAACACCUAGAUCAAAUAGGUUAGAAAAAUACUUAUCUUCAAAAUGGUCUUUUAUCUUAAAAUGCAGACCAUUUAACGCCAUUUUGGCGAACUCUGAUUCCGGCAUUCUCAUAAAGCACCGGGUUUUGGCUAUUUUGAAACGGUCCAAAUACUCUUCGACCGUUUCACCUGACAUUUGUCGGUAUAAAGCCAAGUCGGCGACCGAUAAUUGUGGCUCCGAUCUAUAGAAUCGCUCAUGAAAUUUUCUUUCCAAUUCGUCCCAAUCUUGGACGGAAUUGGCUGAUAAACUUGUAUACCAAGUAAACGCCGUUUUAGUUAACGACGUGUUAAAUAAUCGAAGUUUCAAAAAUGAGUCAGCGGCCGCUUCUCUACAUUGGGCCGUGAACCGGGCUAUAUGCUCGACCGUAUUCUCGGUCUCAUCGCCCGAGAACUUGUCGAACUUCGGCAUUUUCCAGUUUGCCGGAUACGGAUGCUCUGUAUCUAUAUUUGCUGGAUACGGGGAUCGAAAAACAGGCCGCAUAGCCGGCCUGGCCCCUACUCCGAAGGUAUUCCGAAUGACUUCCUCAAUCUGAGCAUACAGCGGAGCUUGUGCUUGAGCCGAAUUUGGCCCUUGAGGAACUCCAGAAUUCUGUAUUGCAGGGUUCGCUCCUUGCAUAUCAUUAGGGGCCUGCCCCCCGGCUCUAGCCCCUACAUUUUGGGGCUGGUAUGCUGCCAUCGGCGGAGGUGGUGGCAAUCCCCAUGUAAUUUCCGGCUGUUGACCGGUAUUGACGACGGCCGGUCUGUAAGCCGCUUGGAAUGGUGCCCCCUGGUAUUGGGGCUGUCCAUUUACCGGUGUCGCAGGAUUUUGCAACACUGGUGUCAUCAUAGGCCUUUGUAAGCCUGUCAUUGGUUGCUCAUUUCGAGUCAAUAAUUGUCCUAUUCGUGCAAUAUGUUCAUUAUAGGUCGUGAUAGCAGCCAGCACCGCGUCUAGUCGAGCAGUACUUUGAUGGAUAUUUUGAUAUAAAGUUUGCAGGACUCGGCUCAUCUGGCCGAGUGCCUAAGUUAGACUCGGCUCUUGAUGAGCCGACUGUCCACUAGUCUCUCCUUCAACUGGCAAAACUGCUUGACAUUCGCCAGCAUUGUCUGAAUCACUAGGUUGAUCACUCCCAGAAUUUCUAGGAACAACCCUAUUACGUAGAUCAUCAGCCAUAAUUUAUAUAUAACUUUACCUAAAAAUGAGUCCCACCGGGCGUGCCAAAAAAUUGUUGUGCUGCCGAAUGUCCCGACCCUUGACCCGGUCAAAUAUUCUCCUCGGGAAGAACGUCGGGAUGCGAGACGGCUGCGGAUUAUGACCCUCGAAAUAUGCGCCCAUAAAGGAUCAAGCGAUUAGGCCGAUGAGGGAUCAAAUCAGCCGAGUUUGAAAACCUCCACAGUAAAUUCGCUUCGGCAGGAUAAGCCGAAUGGAGAGGGGAAGCCCAGAAUUCGACUAAGAAAUGAGCCGAAUGGCUAAACAACUUGUGAUCCGAUCGGCAGGAAGAGCCGAAGAUGACUUUCUAUUGAAUAGAAAAUGAAAAAGUACAAGAACAUGGAAGUGAUGCCCGUGGGGCAGACAGACUCCAAGUAUAUUCUACAAGGGAGUGAUGCCCAUGGGGCAGACAGACUCCAAAGAUCUAUAAGGGAGUGAUGCCUAUGGGGCAGACAGACUCCAAAGAUCUAAGUUACAAGAACUACUCCUAGGAAAGCAGUAAAUGCGGAAAAGAAAAAGAUUACAUUUAGACUACUCCUAGAAAAGCGAUAAAAUGNNNNNNNACCCAGUACUGAUGUUACGUAUAUUCCUACGUUAUUUGUUGUAGAGGAUCGUAUGAUGUACAUACAUACUUAUGGGUUUACAGGUGUUGAUACGAUCUUCAUUCGGGUUCAUUAGGAUGAUGAUGAAAGACUGAUCAUCACUAGUAUUAUUUGAGUUGUGGCACAGCUAAAGGUAAAGGUUAAUUCCUGGAUGGUUUCCAUCAGAUCGAACACGGCGGAUUCACGGACACCAUCGGGCUGUAAGGAUGAGAACCUUACACAGACAGGGUGAGCUGGGGCAUCCGAAGAGUUAUGGCGUGGUCGCUUGUAUUCAGCGCAUCCGAUUGAGGCCUCACGGCCGAACAUCCCUCGCUGGGAGUGUUCGUACACGCUUACUCGUGUUUACCGUUCGUUCGUUCCAGUUUCAGAGUUCAUGAGAUGAGAGUACGGAGAGUGUACCGUUCCGGUGAUCGUAGGGUUCCUAGAUCAGGUUUCAGAGUUUCACUGCGAGGUUGCGUGUGGGAGCGAAUCACGGAGAAAUACUGUGAAUUCGUAGUGCUGAUUAGUACGGGUUAAGUACAGGGCAUAAGGUUAAUUGAUCCAAGUGAAAUCGGGCCCGGGGGUACGGAGAAAUACUGUAACCGGGUUAGAGUUUAUCAGGUUCAAGAGUUCGGAAGAGAUCCGGGGAUUUUAAGGAUAACAGUGUUAACCGUAUAUCCAAUUUACGUACUCUCGUUCCAAGUAAAGGUGUUAUCCUGGGUACUAGGUGUUAAGAUUGAUCUUACGAUUCAGAGUGUACGUACGUGAGAUGGUGUAUCCCCAGAUUUUAAAGUGAUAUGUAUUAUAUACGUACAAUUCGUAAGAUUUUAAGUAUAAUUUAUGUAAAUUGUACCUUUACGUACUUAAAGAUGAAAUGCUUUGUAUAAACGGUUUAUACUCGUAAAGAGUAUAGUAUCCGAUCCAGUUUGGGUGGCUUGGCAGCGCACGAGGAAGCUAAGCGGCUUGCCUCAACAGGUGCUCAGAGUGUUAUGGGAUUUUCAUUAGUCGCUUCUCUAUGCUUUCGUAAUGCUGGUUGGUUCUCUAGUUUGUAAUUGGAUCUUCGUUUUUCCCGGUUGUAAAUGGAGUUCUCAUCUUUAGAGAGGGUUUCGAGGUUUUCUCUCGAUCUUGGGAAGGUUAGGUUCGGGAUCCUUCUAAGAUUUGGUUAAUUAGAUCGGAGUUUUCGGGAUCUAGUUUUUCGGGGUUUUAGUUGGGAUUUAGAGUAAAGAUCCCAAAGUAGAGGGUUUUUAGUGUUUUUAUUCUUAGAUCUCCUCCCUUUGUACUAUGAUUGGGAAACCUUCGAAGUUAGGUUCGGGUUUUACGGGUUCCCAACUUCAAACCAGGUGGUGAUUCGAGAUGUUCGUUCGAGGUUCAGAACGUUUCCACCCUUUCUCUCUUUCCCCAACUUGAGGUUCGAGGGAGUUCGAUCGGGAGAAGAAGAAGAGGAGUAAGAAGAAGAAGAAGAGAGAGAUCUUUCACAUCCCUCUCCCACUCUUACUCUCUUACUCUCUCCCUUCUCCCCCUUUACCGAUUAUUCGGGUAGAUCACAUUGUUUUAGACCUCUCCGGGGAGUUUUUGAGCUAUAACGUUGUCGGGCUUGACCCGUCAAAAGCGGGUCUCCCUGGCCAGAGAGGGGUCGUCCCUGGCCAGAGAGCGACGCUUGAGCUUUUUGGUCGCAAGCCCUUGGCCAGAGAGGGACGCGCCCUGGCCAGAGAGUGACGCUUCUGCGCGAGCCCCUGGCCAGAGCGGACGAUCCCUGGCCAACGGAGUCCGACGGAGUCGUGACGAGUGACCCCCUAGCCAGAGAGGAAGGUCCCUGGCCAGGGGCUCUCACUUUUGAGAGUCCUGACAGGUCUUAAGGUCAAAAGCUUGAAAAAUCCAGCCUUUUGUAAGAUGUUGGGAGGUGGUUCACACCUUUUCGAGCUUUAUGUGGGUUUGUGAGCUUGGGGCGUUAAACGUUUCCAGGUCACGCAGUGUCACGAUGGUUCAACAAAAGCUACUACGCCGAAGGUUUAGCCACUAGCCGAGGCAAUCUAAACUAGAUGUGAUAACUUUCAUAAACCUUUGAUUUAAAAUCUAAAAAAGCUGUAGUAAACUGAUCACUAGUUUUCUAGAGUUUUAACUGUUAAAAUUACCGGCUACACCACACAAACACUCAAAUUGCCAUAUUUUGUCAGGUUUAAGCUACUUUUAAAAUAUCUUUUAAGAAAAGUGAUAAAUCUCAUUCUAGUCAUAUAGACUAGAACUUAAAUUUAGAAAAUAGUAGUAAAAAAUACUCUAAAAAUAAAAGUCGGCAAGUUAAAAUCUGAUGAAUAAACAAUCCAUUUACUAUAGCUUUUUAAUACUUUAAAUCAAAGAUUUAUGAAAAUUAUCACAUCUAGUUCAGAUUGCCUCGGCUAGCAGUUAAACCUUCGGCGCAGUAGCUUUUGUUGAACCAUCGUGCCUCGGGAGGCACGAUGGCUAUCAUAUCAUCGGAUCGAGAGAGAGAGAGAUAUAUAUAUAUAUAUAUAUAACUCGAGGAUACGAAAAUUUUCAUGGUUCAAUAACCACGAACAUCUAAAAAUCGGUGACCUAAUUUUCUAUACGCCAAUCCUACUACACCCGGGGGAUCCCAACUCACCCACCAACCAACUUAUCAUAUUAGAUUACCAAUUUUUACUAGGCUUCUCAUCUAGAUUGCCAUUUUUUGAAUGUUCGUGGUUCACGAACCACGAAAAUGUUCGUGGUAUCGAUCUGAGAUAUAUAUAUAUAGAGAGAGAGAGAGAGAGAGAGAGAGAAAAAGAAAAAUCUGCAGAUACCUCUCGCAAGUUCUUACUAUACGAAUACAGCCUCGGGGAUGAAGAGCGCGAGCAGGCGAAAAACUGACACCGGGUUUUUAAAAAAUGCUUCCCUGAGGUAACUUGGUCACCCGUCAAUACGCAAGAAGACGUUACCGAUUAAAGUGGGUUCCUAUGAAAGAGCUACAGCCUAGCCUAUGACAGCAAAAUGAUCUUGGGUGCCCCUUAUGUGCACCCCGCCUCCUGCACGUAAUGAACCCGGAGACGUAAAAUAUCCCAGCGGGAUCAACCGCCCCAGAAGCUUAAGACCCGCUGCCCUGACAGAACUUGCCGGAAUGUCUUACCUUCUUACUGUUUUAGGCUGCUAAGUUUUGGUGUAAUACAAGUCGACUAUAAGAACCUCCUUAAUAGCGGAAACCCCCAUUUAUACUUAAUCUGAGUUCUUAUAAGUUCCCGAAUCACUUUCGAACCACAAGACUCUGAUUAUGAAAAGUAAAAGGAAUACCCCUCUAACCAUAAAGAGAAACCCUAUAGUCCCAUAAUCCUCAGUAAGGAUAAGAGCCUCUCUACAUACUUCUCAAGUAUGGUUCCUUGACACUAGAACUAUAGAUAUCACGAUCAGAGUGAAGAAACGAAUGUCAUAUACUCACCGAAUGAUAGUCUUUGGUCCCCCCAGGCCAAAUAAUAUUAGUGACCUAACUAAUAACCAUAGCUCCACUAUAGCGCAGAAGAAGAGCUGGUGCAAACUAAUCGCUACUACUCGUAACAUAACCGGGUGGGUAGUCCCUGUUACCGAUAUCCCGACGCAAGAAUAGUAACACCGAAACGUUUAAGUAAUACGUUAGUCCAGUUUCCCUAUGCUAAGCGGGUCUCCAGAAACAAUAUCGGAGGUUUGACCCACUCCCCGAGUUUCAGCGAGAUCGAGGAAGCCACAAUACGAGUUAAGUUCACCGAAAUCCAGUGUAUCGGAGACUAGGCGCCCCCGGAAGGUUAAGAUUAAUGGCGAAGGGGUAAGUAAAAAACCGUUGCACCUAAGUAAGAGUGAAGGCUCCCUGAACGUGGGCGCAUUUUAAGCUACGGCUUCAAUAUUCCCACGACUUAGCAUACGUCUAGGGGCUUUACAAUGCUAAAUUUCUACGCUCCUAAUGAAGAAUAUUAAGCUCUUCUGUAGUGGUUUUGCUUUUCUCUAGCUCCUAUGUAGAUACCGUUGUCCUAUUUAAGCAAACCGUGGGCAAGAGUAAGCGAGGUAGGUUUCUUCCAACCCAAGUACUUUAUCAAUUAAACCGCCCCCGCUGUCUCAAGGGUCUAUUAUAGUUCCUCAUGGACUACAGGUAGGCAGUAUCAUAGUAUGGUGAUGCAUACCCUUUAUAUGAGGUACGUGUUGGAAUGUUAGGAGUGUCCAAACGAGCGGUUAAACCAAAACUAGUCGUGAUACGAUCUCUACGACUGUUAUAUCAAUCCUAACAACAAAGUCGUCCACACAACUCUCCUAUAACCAGUGUGAAGUAUUUUCAGGCGGUAAAAUGGUCUAAAAAAUAAGGUUUACGCUUAGCACAACCUUUUGGUUGUGUAAACAUACGAGAAACCACCUCCUCAUACAAUCUCGGAAUAAAGAGCAGACCUUAACUAAGCAACCAACUCGUACUUAAUUUGGGUUUCGUUUAAGUGUCUGGGUAGGGAUCCAGAAGCGGACACCUCAGAGCUGCACCACGAGCACUCUAUUCGGCCAAACGAGUAUGUCGAUUCGUUUUAGAGAACCGUCCUAGACGAGUAGUAAGAGAAGUCGUCUGCGUGCUCUAAGGCCUGCAGGGAUUAAGUAGAAACGAACACGUAUUAGCUAAACUUGGGUUAUAUCAUUAGCUAGUCUAGCAACGAUUCUCUCCCGAAGGGCUUCUGAGCUCGGCAUCUCUGGGCUUUUCUGAGGCACAACUACGUAGUUACCGGCGCUGCUCGCAAUGUUCUCUUUUUCCAUUCGUAAAUAUACGUAACAGGAAAGAAAAAGGAGAAAAGAGAAUAAAUAAAUAUAGAGAGAAGAAAAAAAAGAAAAAAAAAGCGAAGAGUUUAAGCACGUUCCUCCUAAGAACUCCUCUUUGACGGUAGUGGUUGUGGGAGACCUCCAUAGGUUAGAAAGAAGAAGAAGAGAGAGAAAAUAAAUAAAUAAAUAAAUAAAAAAAUGAGAAGGAAAAAAAAGGAACGUCUGGUAGAAUUGCUCUUAUGAAUAAGAGAGUACUAACCGUUGCUUCAUCUCGGAGGAGAUCAAGAACGAAGAAAACUUCUCCCAUUACUCGGAAAGAAGACAGAUAAAGAAGAUAAAAAAGAAGAAAAAAAAAAAAUGAUUAAGGGGCUACAAACAAAUACAUCUAGCACUGGCAUUAGGGAACUAACUACGUUUCUGAUAACACCGCCUAGGAGUCCUGUAACGAAGGGGUGCUCCACGGAGGAAAAAUAAAAUAAAAUAAAAUAAAAAAAACUUGUAGAACUUUAUACCCGUCCGGAGGAUUGAUGGGGGGGGGGGAAAAAAAAAACGGCUCUAGCUUCUGUCAUAGGGAAGAGCUAUAUUGGGACUUCAGCUGAUGCUUUGCUGAGGUAGCCAAUCAUUCGUACUAAGUCUGAGCGGAGUUCUAUGCCAUUAGAGUAUUCUGGACAUAUGCUUCUGGUGAGUACACGAAGGUCAUAUUACUACUGGCUAAACGAGAGGAAAAGGGGAAAAAUCACCCACCAGCUUCUUCUACAGAGUCUAUGUUUAUACCAUCAAAGGCGCGCGUGAGAUUAUCCUUUACUCAGGUUCCUAUUACAACUACUAUGUCGAUGUUGUUCUAUAAAUCUCUAAUUCAGACAUUUGCCUCUACUAGGAUAACGCCAACACCCGCAAAGCGGCCUCUUGUACGAAAACUUUCUUCCACUACCGCGUCCAGUAAAUUAUAGAAGGCUGGUACCGCAACCUGUCCCUUCAUCUGGAUGGAACUAUCUAGUAAACUAGCUCUAUCACUCCUGGAGAUUAAUAGUGAGAAUAGUGCGGCAGGUUCUUUUUCAAUGGCUCAUAACACUUUAAGAUAGGGCAUACCCCCAGCUUUAGAAUCCGAACUCAUGCGCAGAGGUCUUCAAUAAAUUCCUUCGCCUUCGAUAAGCUCUCCAACGACGAGUAGGUAGAAUAAGAAGCAGUCGAGCAUAGAACUUCCGGUUCCCCGUGUGCUCAGCUUAGUGAUUCCUCGAGUUUCUAAUACUGAGAUUUUCCUCAAGAAACUGGACUUGAUUCCUUUUUCGAAACUGGAAUGCACUAGUCGUUACGAUUUCCCAACUCCUAAAUCUCUCCUGAGAGCGUCGUCGCGUUCGUUUCUUUCGGCUUGACUUGCUGCUCCAGUUAUGAUAUUUGCUUACGUAGAGAGCCGAACUGAGCCCGUUCCUAUUUCUUCACCGUUACUACUUUCCUUGUCAACUUCUUAAACCUCGCUGACUUCCAUCAGUAUCGUACUGCCACCUUAAGUUAGUGGAAAGUUUAGAGUAUUUCCUAAAACUUGUAGUAACGUCCUUAUAUGCAUUGUAGUCAUGACCAAGUAUUACUGUCAUAUCUGUAUAAAGUAAAGCAUGAUAUUACUUGUGAACAUAUAUAUCCAUGACAAAAUAAAGUCGCAUUAGGAAUGCCAUGUUUAAUUGCAAGUUGUAGCUUAGCAUCCUAAUUAUUAUGCUUUCUAAUAUGCAAUUUACUCGUUACUCUUAUUGUUGUACUUACCCUUUUCUUUUGGGGCCUAGUGGUGCAUUGAGCUGAGGUCAGUAAUUGCCCACUGGGAACUAUAAAUUAUAGUUCUCACGCCCUCUUUUCCUCGAUGUUUUUCAGAGCCUUCCACUCAGGGUGAGGCCAGGGACCGCGGGAAGGGAGUUGCUUCGAGCUAGCUUCCUACGAGGACGACUUGCUAGGUGGUCUACCUCUCGUUGUACUUUUUUUUGGAGAGGUUGAGAGUUUUACCAGUGUACUAGAGACCACCGUUUUGUAUUAGAGGCUGAUACUGUAUAACUUAUGUUUACUUUUAUGUAUUAGGUAUGUUCUAUUACUAUUAGUAUAGAUGUUAGAACUUUACUCGCUCUGAUAUCAUUAGCUGCUCAUUAUUUCACUUCUUCUAUUGUUUUACUACUUGCUUUUACUUCCGCUUUUAUUGUAGACGCCUUAUAUGUGUUGACAUAUGGCGGGUCUGGGCACACUACCGGGAGGGCCUUCGCCGGUCCCGGGGCGUGACAAGCACGGAGCCCUCCGUGCUACCGAUAAUAUAGUAGCCGGACUAUAUAUAUAUAUAUAUAUAUAUAUAUAUAUAUAUAUAUAUAUAUAUAUAGCCUGGUAUACUAUCGGUAGCACGGAGGCCUCCGUGCUACGAAGUUGUUUUCAAUGAUGCCGCUUCCAAAUUGACGAUCGGCUCUGUUAGACUUGAUCUACAUUAUCGAAAGUAUUUGAAAACUAAAUUUCAUAAUUUUUCGGUAUUAUUUACCUAUCAAACGAGUAGUCUAAAAAUGAACGGCUGAAAAUAAAAAUCUCAUAAAACAUGAUGAUAGAAGAUUUGAAUUUAAGAUCAGAGGUACUGAUCUUACUCUAAAUAGUAAAAAAAAAAAUUUAUAAAAAUUUCAUCUGAUUUGAAUUGUUUUACACCGUUAAAUUUACAAAUGCAUUACAUUUACCAUUAAAAUUGUCAAUUUUGAGAGCUUUUGAUCACUAGCCAAAUGAUGUCGAAAAACUAUGAAAUUUAGUUUCCAAAUAUUUUUAAUAGUGUAGAUCAAGUUUAACGGAGCCGAUCGUCGAUUUGGAAGCCGCAUCAUCGAAAACAACUUCGUAGCACGGAGGCCUCCGUGCUACCGAUAGUAUACCAGCCUAGCUAUAUAUAUAUAUAUAUAUAUAUAUAUAUAGAGAGAGAGAGAGAGAGAGAGAGAGAGAGAGAGAGAGAGAGAGAGAGAGAGAGAGCAGGAUUGCUGUGCUCUCAGGAGCACGGAGGCCACCGUGCUCCUAAGCCGUUUUCAAUGAUGGAAUUUUCGAAUCGACGAUCGGCUCCGUUAGACUUGAUCUAGCGCAUUUGAAGUUUCUAGAAAAUAAGUUUUGCUAUUUUUCGAUAUCAUUUACCUAGCAAUCGAAAAGAUUCAAAAUCAAUAAUUUUUAACGGCUGAAAAUAAAAAUCCUAUAAAAAGUGGUGAUAUAGCACUAAAAUUUUCGAUCAGAAAUAUUAAUCUUGUUGUAGAUAGUAUAAAGUAUUUUGUAUCAAAAUUUCAUCUGAUUUGAAUACUUCUACACCGUUAAACUUGAAAACGGCAGAUAUCAGCCAUUAAAAAUUAUUGAUUUUGAAUUCUUUCGAUCGCUAGGUAAAUAAUAUCAAAAAAUCUCAAAAAUUAUUUUCUAGAAAUUUCAAAUACCCUAGAUUAAGUCUAACGGAGCCGAUCGUCGAUUCAAAAAUUCCAUCAUUGAAAUGGCUCAGGAGCACGGAGGUCUCCGUGCUCCUAAGAGCACAACAACCCUACUAUAUAUAUAUAUAUAUAUAUAUAUAUAUAUAUAUAUAUAUAUAUAUAUAUAUAUAUAUNGGGAGGUUGAUGAAAGUUGGUUGAUUAUUACACCCGAUAUUUAUCAUUGAAACUUCGGACGUUAUCUCCAGAAAUGGGGACGCGUGUUUUCUGGUGGGAAUAAAGGAGAUGUAAAAUAGCGAAAAGAUCCUCAUCAGAUUUAGUGGUUGUAACCAUGAUCGUGGAAGUUAUACUAACUCCUCAUGGAAGUUACGCUAACUCCUCAUAGAAGUUACGCCCUAAUCUUCAACUGUUCCCGCCUUCUUGUCCUUCAGGUGCCUUAUUGCCGACUCCUGAUAUACCAUGUGUCAAUUUUCGCUCAUACGUGGGUUAGGUCGGCUCAAUUUUGGUAUCAACAGAGUAUAACAGAAAUUAUAUAUAACAAAUACCAAAAGUUAUAUAUAAUUUUAAUAUAUAGACUUUCUCUAAAAUAAGUCACAUUGUAAAGAAAAUUAUUAAGUAAAACUAUAUUUCAUUAUUUUCAUUAAAAAUAAAUAAAUAAAUAAUGUUGAGUGUUUGUCGAUGCCCCCACAAGGCCAAAGGACCUGCAUGCUUGCGGUGGGCCCCACAGGGGCUACGCUUGGCAGCCCACAACAUCAGCCUUUUUUUUUUUUGUGCUUUGACCGCCACCUAGGCAACCCCAUCACGGGCUGCCUAGUGCGGCCCUAAUGGGGCUGCACAAUGCAGCCCCUUCUCAGCUGCUGACGAUCGGUGCCGCGAUGCGCUUCCGCCGCCCGACCUACCGCCAAGUUUCUUUUUUUCUUUUUCUUUUUCUUUUUUUAUAUAUACCGCAAACCAGGGCAAGUCUUGAGGGGCCACCUCGUACGGCUCUCAUCCAUAGGGGCUGCAAGAACAUGCAACAUCUUAAUUAAUUAGCCUAUGCCUUAUGCUAAUUAAUUAAGAUUCUAUGUACACCUCUAAGGAGGUCGUAUUUUGCGGCCCCUAAUGGGCCAUGCUCAACACGGUGGGACCGGUGACGCCGUUUCUCCGAACGCCGAUCCGACGUUACCGUUAACACAAACCAUCGACGAAUUUAUUUAUUUAUUUUUCUUUAAUGAAAAGAAAACCAAACGGAAUCCGGAAAGAAACGAAAAUCCGGCAAAAGGUUUCGCUCUGAUACCACAUGUUAGAAACUUUAUAAGAAACUAGAUCGUACCUUCUGCUAUGAUUUCGAUUUCUAUACCCGAUUUGUAAGCGGCAAUCCUUACUCGUGGUUCGUCCUCGUUCGUGAUCUGCAAGAAGACGGGACGUUUCGAGUCUAAUUCCCUUAUCCCCAGAGAUGGAGCCGUCACAGACAAUUGGAUUAGGGUUAGACCGGGACUCCCGUAUGUUACAUAUUUAUAUAUAACUUAAUGUAAGGAUGUUAAAUCACGUCCAUCCAUCAAGGACGUGUCCAUAUACAUCCUAACCGUAAGAUCUAAAAUAUUUUUAUAGAUCGACUUAAAUAGAUUGACCGUAUCUUUAUGGAUCGCCUUGAAUAUAUCACGUGGGCCACAUCCAACACNCCUAACUCUAUAUAUAUAUAUAUAUAUAUAUAUAUAUAUAUAUAUAUAUAUAUAUAUAUAUAUAUAUAUAUAUAUAUAUAUAUAUAUAUAUAAAUAUAAUUGUGCUAGAAUACUAUCGAUAGCAAACGGACUCCGUUCCCACCCAUUUGUUUUCGAUGAUAGAGCUUCCAAAUCGACGAUCGGCAACGUUGAACAUGAUCUAUACCAUUUGAAGUGUUUAGAAAUCAAGUUUCAAAUCUUUUUGACAUCAUUUGCCUAAUGAUCAAAGGGUUUCAAAAUUUAUAAUUUUAAUGGUCGAUAUGAGGUGUUCUCUCGUUUAACGGCGUAAAGAUAUACAAAUCAAUUGAAUUUUUGUUAGAAAAUUUUUUAAACUAUUUAAAAUAAGAUCUAUACUCUUGAUCAUGAUUACAAAACUCCUAUCAUCAUUUUUUAAAAAAUAUUCAUUUUCAGCCGUUCAUUUUUGUGUCCACUCGAUGGAUAAGAGAACAAUAUCGAAAAUAUAUGAAAUUUGAUUUCUAAACACUUCAAGUGGCAUAGAUCAUGUUCAACGGUGCCGAUUGUUGAUUUGGAGGUUCCAUCAUCGAAAACAAAUGGGUGGCAACGGAGCCCGUUUGCUAUUGAUAGUAUUCUAGCUCAACUAUAUAUAUAUAUAUAUAUANAAUAUGCGAAAUGUUAAGUCUAGAACCCAAAAAAGAUUGUUGUGAUUACACAGCUCUCAUCCAAGAAAUCUCCUCUUCUGGUUUUUUUUUUUUUUUUUUAGUAAGAAAAUAACAAUUGACAAGAUUAACGAAGAAAAGUUGAUCCUUGAAUGAUGGGUUGUACGAUUGUAAUUCUAUUUGGAUUGUAGGGCUAGCAUUGCCCGUGGAACAUUGAAAUGAUUGAAGUGCCUCCAAAAAAUAUGGAAUCUGAUUAUGGAAGUUGACUUAUCUUGGUGGAAUCCAAUCUAUAAUAGUAUGACUCUGUUAUACUACAUAAGGUGCACUCCACUCCAGAUUUUCGCAGAGUAUGUUUUGAAUAAGAGAAAUGUUACUUGUACAUUUAAAAGUAGUGCAAAUCUUACAUUCGGCCAAUCUAAACUCACACAGAGUAAGAGAAAUGUAAUUUGUGAGCUCAAAAGUUGACCAUAGAUUUUAUAUUUUGCUCAUCUAAAUGUUUAGACAGUUUUUUUAGAUUUUAGGAUUAAAAAACUAAUAGUAUGGUAAGACUAGUGUUAAAAAAUAGGUCUUAUAUAGGGUGUAAGAUUUCUCCCACUUUUGUAUGCAGAGAUAGCAUUGCUCUUUGAGUAAUUAGGUUCCAUACACAGGAUUUUCUAUGGGUUAUUGAAAUUUUAGUAAGUCUGUAUGUUUGGACUUACCAGCAGAAACUAAUCAGAAUUCUCCACUUCAAUUAGGUCAACACAUCAGCAGUAGUCUAUAGAAUGCCAGCAUUUCGGGUGUUUGGUAAUUUGGUUGUUCACAGAUGUAGAAAGUAGUAGAGAGUUAGCUGGGGAGUCAUCUAUAGAGAACAAGGUAUGGUUAAGGAUAACUUCUGAAAUUGUGUUACGCAUACUUCUUGAAAUAGAUGAGAGUAGCAUUUGUGCUGAAAGUGAUUGGCCACCAUCCUAUGAUUUCUAUAAAUAUCUACAUGAUAGGAAUAAUGCUAUGCACACUACCAUUCCCGUGUAAGUUGUGGCGGAUUCCGAAAGUUAUCAAAAUAUCUUUUGUGGCUAUGCCUCUCUCCCCUCAUCCGUUUCAUGUGGGGCUGAACUUAACAUUAAGGACCAAAACCCUGCAUAAUUGAUGAAUUAAUUAAACAAUAUCUUUAGGUUUAAGAUUGAGAAGACUUAGGCUCUGUUUGGAUGUCGUAACAAGUUAUUUUCUAAAUAACUUAUUUAACAUGCAGUUUAUUUUUUUUCGUGUGGUUGGAGACGAAAAGUUUGAGUUUUUUCCUUGAAAGGUUUGUAGUCCUUAGUUUCAUAGGAUAGUAUACUUCACCUAUAAGAUAAUUUAUUUUAUUACGAAAAAUUCACUAGGAAGUGAAAUAUAUUAUUCCGUUCUAGGUGUUUAAUUAUAUUUCUCAUUAAUCAAAUACUAUAACUUCUUGAAUAAAUCAAAGAUAUAUUCGGAAUAAUAUAUUCAAGUAUCCAAAUAGGGCCGUAAGGAUUGAGAAUUAAGUAACUAAGCAAGAUGGCAAACAACCCUUUUCAUCACCGUCCCAAUUUGAUCCAGCUCAGGGGUCGGCAAAUGGGUCCAGAAGAGAGAGAGGCGCACGAAGCGCCUAAAUACAGGCCACUUCCCAUUUCUUUAACAUUUUUUAGGAGAGCAAUAAUCAGGUUCUCAUUUCAUAACUCCAACAGAAAUCACCAUAACCAUCCCCUGUUGGAAUAUCUUAUCACUAAAAAUGAUGGGCCCGGAGUAUCUUAUUCAACCGACCCACCCUCUUACACAGUUGUGGGAGAAAAAGCUCUUGCCUCAGGAAGAAGGAAGAAGUAAUACAAUAAUACACAUAUAUAGUAGUCAAAUUCAAUACAAUACUAGAAAAAAAAUAUGCAAGAGAGAGCAGAGCAGAACAGAACCUGAGACAAAAGGAUCAACUCAGAUCUCAUGAGUGCAAUGAUAUUAAUUAAUUAAUCCCUCACUAGUAACUAAUCAAAGCCAAUUUGGUUGGAAGGGCGGCGCGUUUACCCAUUACCGCAAUCCUGAGCAUUGUACCGAGGCGGAUUCACUGAUUCAACUACAGCUCAUCCUAUUCCUCCUCUAUUAGAAUAUAUAUUUCUAGAAUAUCCAAACAGAAUAUAUAUAUAUAUAUAUAUAUAUAUAUAUAUAUAUAUAUAUAUAUAGUGGAUAUCCGUAUCCGAUCUAGAUUCGAUUCGUAUCCGGUCUUGAAUGGCUAGUAUACUGAUAGUCACUACCUAAACCUACUCAAAUAGACCCGAUGAAUAUAUUUGUAACUUAAGUAUCCAAAUUCGGAUCAGACCCGAAGUUAAAUGGAUAGGGUAUAUUUUUUUUUUUCUAACCAUUUCUUUUUAGGAUACAUGUAUAGUAUAUUAAUUAUCUAGACGCAAUCCGAUCCACAGACACCUUUAGGUGGGACUAAAUUAUACUUAAUUAUGUUUUGGUUGUCACGCCAUAUAUUACUACGUUCCCCGAGCUCGCCAACAGAUCCGCCGUACACAUAGGAAUUUUCCGUGUAUACGAAGCGAUAGCCGUACCUGCAAAUAGACAGAAGCUACAACAAAAGACAGAGCUGCUAAACUUAACAUAUAUAAAUAUAUAAGUAAAACCCACUGUACAUACAAGUUCUAAAGCACCACCCUCUCAGAACGAAAACUAAAAUAAAAAUCACUGUAUGUACAUGGCACAACCAAAACUACCUCUGUUCGGAACUCCUCUAGUAUGGUAACUGGGUAAAUAGGGAUCUAGCUUGCGACUCCCUUAUCUCGAUCAGAAACGGCAACAGGAGCAGUCAAAGGCUCUGCAAAAAAAAAAGGCAACAACGAGUAUGAGAACUACUACAAAAACAGAGUAGUCCUCAGUGGGUACCGUUACCGACCCCAACGGUCCAACCACUAAGUCUACAAGAUGAGUAAUAAGCUGAUAGGUAAAUAAGUUGGAAGAAAUUCUGUAGCUAAAUGCCACUAUACUAUCGCUAUCCAAACCAUGCUCUCUGAAACAUAUGAAAUGUAUCACUAGCUACCAAUCAGUCACAACUAACCCAAUCUCAAGGGACCGCCAACCGGUCAGCUAAUCUGUACCCAAACUACACUGCACACUACCCGCGGGGGUGGCCGGUCCAAGAACACUGCCCAACAGGACUGCUAGGACAUCAACGCAAGAAAAGUCUCACUCCGAAGUGGCACUCGUGGGAGCGACCCAACCGAAUAUGCAAGCGUGUCUCUGUCGAGCUCAAUUAGGCUCACACAGGCUAUAGUCAUUUCAAAUGGGUCAAAUUGGUCUAACAACCAUGGCUCACGUGCCCUCGGUACAAUCUGAUAUAAGAUGUAAGAAUUUAGAUCCACCGUCAACCCCGACGGCACCCGACAAUACAAAAUAGCCUAACUCUGCUGUAAAACGAGUUCGGCCCCUCAACACGAGCGUAAUAUCAACCUACACUAAUUUAAAUAUCCACGACGCACUAAUAGCGGUGAUACAAAUAGAAAAUCAGCUCCUGAAGCUAAACCUGUUAACUUUUCUAAAAAUGUCUGGUGUAGGUUUAACAAGUUUUCUCCUAAGUCAAAUUCUAGUUCAGCAGAUAAUAAUCAUCAUGAUUUUGCUAAGCAUGCUCCAAACUUAGAUUUUAUCUAUAACAUGCAAAUCUACAGUUCAAGCUAUAAACGAGAUGGUUAUAUGUAAACUACACAUACUGUGAUAUCAUAUACUUAGGAGGUACUCCGAAGACUUCGGAUAACAUCAACUCACCUAGAAUGCUCGUUCAACACCGGCUAGAAGUCGAUAGACGAAAUCCCGCACCAGCUCAGCCUCAAACUGAAGCAAACCGUGGUGCAUGGACAAUCCUCCAAAGAGAAGAAGAAUAAAAAUAAGAUCGAUCCUCAAAUUCCCAUAGAACUGGGGAGAGAAAGCUAGAGAGAGAAAGAGGAGAAGCCUACCUGUUUCUCCAAGCUCCAAUAUGUAUAUCCUGCUGGGUCGGUUGGGAAUAAAUAGGAUAAAUAUGGCUACAAAAUUACCAAAAACUCUUUUACCAACUCAAACUGCCACAUUGAGUACCGGUACUCGGUUGAGGUACCGGUACCCGGCACUUAAACAGCUAAAACCCGAGCACUGGACAGCUGGGUUUUAAUACAGUGUACUGGUACUAGCUCGAUGCAGUACUGGUACCCAGUCCCAGUACCGGUACCGGUACUCCACAUAGGUACCGGUACUUAAUACUCAAAAUCUGCAAUUUGCAGAUUUCAGUGUCAGAAUUCUAAUCUCGCACUGCGUCGAGUCCGUUCUUGCGUCCAUUUCGCGCCAAACGACUCAAACUCGUUCCGACACUCUACAGAUGUGUCGACAAGCCACAAAUACUGCAGUCACUCCGACUGCUAAACACCAGGGAUACUACAUUGGUCCACAAAUUUUAAUUUAUUAUAAUUUCAUACUCAAAAUUUUUAAAUUAUUGUAAUCAAUAUCUAAUGUUCAAAUAAGAGAUUUUGGAUAUCAACCAUCAAAUUAUGCGCCAUUUGCACUAGAGACGAUUAAUAUCACAUAUUAAAUUUGUAUAAGUCAACUAAUAAAAGGACAGGAAAAUAUUUGGAAUGUCACCAUGUUUGAACUAUAGGCCAGUCAGAGAGAGUUUCUUCAACUUUUUUUUUUUUAUAUUUAUUUUGUACUGAGACCCCUUCAACUUCUUACUUGAGAUUCAUAGAUAGUUAAGCUAAAAAUUUUAUCAAAAUUACUUUCUUUAUUAGUUAUUACUUAUUGACCAUUAAUUGACAUAGUUUUCUUUUUGUUUUUGCUAAAUGAAAUUGAAGUCAUUCAUUUGGUGCGAUCACCAACAAACUUGGUAAACUUUCAAAAUCUUUUUACUAAAAUUAUUUAAUUCUAAAAAAAAAGAAAUUGAGGGGGCCGAGACAAAAAAUAAUAGUUGAGGGGAUAUAUAUUCAUUUUUCCCAAUAAAUUAUUAAAGUCUUUCUAAAUUUCAUAAUUUCUUAUUUCUUAAAACUAUAAUUUAGGAUAAAAUAUGGUGAUCUCGAAAAUUGAAUAGAUUAAGAUUAUUUUCUACAUUAUUAAAUUAUAAAUCACUUGUAUAAAAUGUUAAAGGUCUCGUUUAGUAGCGUUGCGUCUUUAUAGUUUUUUUAACAAUGAUUUGACAAAAUUAAAUGUGUUGGCAGAAAGAUUUUUUUUUCUUUGUCAUAAUAGGUUAGCUAACAAUGCAUCCGACUAAGUUAUAGAAAAUAAUUUAUUUUGAAAAUUUUGAAAGUAACAAAAAAUAAUUUUUAAUUGUUUUUUCUUUUUGUUGCCAAGUAAAGACUUUGAAUAACAAAAUUAUAUGCAAUCCACUAUCCACUUUUAUACUUUUAAUAUAAAAAAAUAUUUUAGAAAGUGAAAAAUAAGCAUUGUAAAAUUGUUUUGAGAAUUAAAGAACUUUGUUUUUCUAGAAUCCGAUUUUCACAAUUUUUCAAUAUCAUUUGUCAAAACCGCAGUGUCACAUUCGUCUUAUAUUAGCCGUUGUAAAACCACAAAAUUACUAGGCAAAUAAUUUUAGAAAACUAUGGAAUUUAAAAGUUAUAAGUUCAAAUAUCCUAAUCAUGUUUAACACGUUUGAUAGUUGAUUGGAAUAUCCCACAAGGGAUUGUGUGGUUUCUCGAAAAAGCAUAAAAAAUUAUUUUUCAGGAAAAAAAAUUAUAUGAAAAACACCAUUCUUCAUCACUUUUAUUUGGAUAAAUUGCACUAAUAUUGGUUCUCAAACUAUGAUGUAGACGAUAUUUUAGUUCUCGAACUUUGAUUUGUUAUAAUUUUUACUCGAAUUUUUAGAAUUAUUGAUGUAGACGAUAUUUUAGUUCUCGAACUUUGAUGUAGACGGUUCGUAUUCUUAUUUUUAUCAUUUUAUUUGAAAUUUUACGUAAGGAAGGAUAAAUCAAAUUUUUGCCAAAAAAUGAGUCUGUCAACAGACCAAUAUUUGAAAUACUUAUAUAUAUAUNAUAUAUAUAUAUAUAUAUAUAUAUAUAUAUAUAUAUAUAUAUAAGCUGGAAUACUAUCAAUAGCACCGAGUUAUUGGUGCUAUUAAUUUCUUAGUGAUAUUAAUUUUUUAGCUCUUGGAUGAGAAAUGUGCGGUUAGGAUGAUGUGGACCCCUAGGGUUGAGUGGAUGGUUGGUUGAAUAGUAUAAUCUAACGGAUAAAAAUAAUCAAAAGGAUUAAUCUAACAGCAAAAAAUUUGAUAGCACCAAUCACUUAGUGCUAUCGAUAGCAUAGUAGCUGGACUCAUAUAUAUAUAUAUAUAUAUAUAUAUUUGGACUGGACUACUAUUAGUAGCAAAAUUCUAUUGUUGCUACUAGUUUUUUAGUCUUCAGAUCAACUCUUUUCAUUAUUUCUAACCAUUAGAUUAAAUACUAUAACCUAGUUGGGACCACUCAACCUUAGGGGGACCACUCAACUCUAACCGACUAAUAUCAUCCUGACCCUACAAUUUUUCAUCAAAGGGUUAAAAACUUGAUAGCAAAAAGAGCGUUUUACAAUUAAUAGUAUUCCAGCUGGUAUACUAUCGGUAGCACGGAGGCCUCCGUGCUACCAAGUUGUUUUCAAUGAUGCGGCUUCUAAAUUGACGAUCGGCUCCGUUAGACUUGAUUUACACUAUUAAAAGUAUUUGGAAACUAAAUUUCAUAAUUUUUCGACAUCAUUUACCUAUCAAACGAGUAGUCUAAAAAUGAACGGCUGAAAAUGAAAAUCUCAUAAAAAAUAGUGAUAAAGAAUUCAAAAUUCAAAUCGGAAGUAGUGGUCUUGCUAUUGAUGUUAAGUAGAAUUUUCUAUUAAAUUUUCAUCUAAUUUGGAUACUUCUACACCGUUGAACUUAAAAAUGCCGUCUGUAAUCCGUAUUUAAAAAUAAAAAAUUACAGUAAAAAAUAUUAAUACAAUUUAACAUAGGGUAUCAGAACCAGAUCUUUUACCAUAUUUUUUUCGUUUCUUUUA